rnacentral:rRNA from 1 species
AGUGAACGCUGGCGGCAGGCCUAACACAUGCAAGUCGAGCGGCAGCGGGUUCCCGCGAGGGGAUGCCGGCGAGCGGCGGACGGGUGAGGAACACAUCGGAAUCUGCCUGGUUGUGGGGGAUAACGUAGGGAAACUUACGCUAAUACCGCAUGCGACCCUGAGUCGACGGACUGGGGGUGAAAGUGAGGGACCUUCGGGCCUCACGCGACCAGAUGAGCCGAUGUCGGAUUAGCUAGUUGGCGGGGUAACGGCCCGCCAAGGCGACGAUCCGUAGCUGGUCUGAGAGGAUGAUCAGCCACACUGGGACUGAGACACGGCCCAGACUCCUACGGGAGGCAGCAGUGGGGAAUCUUGGACAAUGGGCGCAAGCCUGAUCCAGCCAUGCCGCGUGGGU